rnacentral:rRNA from 1 species
CCUACGGGUGACAGCAGUAAGGGAUAUUGGUCAAUGGGGGAAACCCUGAACCAGCAACGCCGCGUGAGGGAAGACGGUUUUCGGAUUGUAAACCUCUGUCCUCUGUGAAGAUGAUGACGGUAGCAGAGGAGGAAGCUCCGGCUAACUACGUGCCAGCAGCCGCGGUAAUACGUAGGGAGCGAGCGUUGUCCGGAUUUACUGGGUGUAAAGGGUGCGUAGGCGGAAGGUUAAGUCAGCGGUCAAAUGUCGGUGCUCAACACCGGCCUGCCGUUGAAACUGGUCUUCUUGAGUGAGCGAGAAGUAUGCGGAAUGCGUGGUGUAGCGGUGAAAUGCAUAGAUAUCACGCAGAACUCCGAUUGCGAAGGCAGCAUACCGGCGCUCAACUGACGCUGAGGCACGAAAGCGUGGGGAUCGAACAGGAUUAGAUACCCGGGUAGUC